CACAUCUGCAAUCUCCUUCUGACGCUUUAUUAUACCAGUUAGUUAUUAGACGACUGCUGAAUGUUGAAGAAGUUUUUGGAUUAUGCUAGUAAGUAUGACCUCUGCAGUUAGUUAUUGUAAACAGUAGAAUCUUUGAUGCGAAUUUGUUCUGUAUAUUGCCAUAUUUAAAUAGCAAAAACACCUAGCUACUCUGCCGGAGUGUGCCCAGCACACACUUCACUGCUGCCACUGUAUAGGGCUGCUGCAAAUUAUCAUCGAAGAUGGUUUUUUCGUCUUCAGUAUCGAGAGCAAUUCUAAAGUGCAUCUUUUCAGGUUUUAAUAUCAAUUUGAUAUUAAUGAAUGGAGGGCGGAAGAGGGGGAGAAAGAAAGAACUUCACAGAAAACAACCAUAUUCGUAACUAUCUGAUUUUUCUAGGUAUAAAAAGUUG
rnacentral:sRNA from 1 species